rnacentral:rRNA from 1 species
CAGUCGCCGCGGUAAUACGAGGGGGGCAAGCGUUGUUCGGAAUUAUUGGGCGUAAAGGGUGCGUAGGCGGUUUGAUAAGUCACAUGUGAAAUCUUCGGGCUCAACCCGAAGUCCGCAUGCGAAACUGUCGGGCUUGAGUAUGGGAGAGGUGAGUGGAAUUUCCGGUGUAGCGGUGAAAUGCGUAGAUAUCGGAAGGAACACCUGUGGCGAAAGCGGCUCACUGGACCAUAACUGACGCUGAUGCACGAAAGCUAGGGGAGCAAACAGGAUUAGAUACCCCCGUAGUCCCUGUCUCUUAUAC